GGACAUGGCGAGAGAGUUAUUAAAAUCAGUUCAGGGGUUCGCAGGAGGAUUCUGAAGAGGGCACAUUGUCCAAAAGGAGAGCUGAAGGCAGACUUGGCCACCCUGCUGCUCCAUGAGGGCGUUUGCUAUCACAACACAAGGAUCCUCUCCAAAUUCCAGGGUGAAGAAAACAUGAAUCAUGUCUUACAUUUCCAUUGAUGACAGCAGGACAGCAUGCAGGGGCUCAUUCACUCAAGAUAACAGCACCAGACCAUCAACCCAGCCACCGUGUGCCAACACGCACAUAGACACAUGCACACAGACACACCGUUGUCCUGCAGAUGAGUGGAUCCAAGCUUCUCAGGAUGGUGCAGGUCUGCUGACAGGGGAGUUACAGCCCCAUCAGGGCUGGGGGCAACAGAUGUUAAGCCCCACUGUUUCCUUGGCCCUGUGACGGUGGAGAGGAAGACAUGUUCCAAGGCAACUCUCUCAGCUUCAAGCUGAAGGAUCCCUUGCACCAGCAUUGUGAGUGAAAAUAUGCACCUAUGGGAAUUUCAAAGACCGCUAGAGG